GGAAUGCGUGGGCCUGGUGGCCCGGCCGGUCUUCAAAACCGGCAGGCGGCCGAGACCCGGCCGUUGGUGGUUCGAUUCCCCCGCAUUCCG
rnacentral:tRNA from 1 species